GAUGAACGCUAGCUACAGGCUUAACACAUGCAAGUCGAGGGACCGGCGCACGGGUGAGUAACACGUAUCCAACCUGCCCUUUACUCGGGGAUAGCCUUUCGAAAGAAAGAUUAAUACCCGAUGUAAAGGAUGGGGAUGCGUUCCAUUAGGUUGUUGGUGAGGUAACGGCUCACCAAGCCUUCGAUGGUGAGGGGUUCUGAGAGGAAGGUCCACCACAUUGGAACUGAGACACGGACCAAACUCCGACGGGAGGCAGCAGUGAGGAAUAUUGGUGAAUGGGCGUUAGCCUGAACCAGCCAAGUAGCGUGAAGGAUGAAGGCUUAUGGGUCGUAGACUUCGUUUAUAGAAGAAUAUGUAUUAUAUGAAUAAGGAACGGCUAACUCCGUGCCAGCAGCCGCGGUAAUUC
rnacentral:rRNA from 1 species